rnacentral:rRNA from 1 species
UACGAAGGGGGCUAGCGUUGCUCGGAAUCACUGGGCGUAAAGCGCACGUAGGCGUCUUCUUAAGUCAGGGGUGAAAUCCUGGAGCUCAACUCCAGAACUGCCUUUGAUACUGAGGAGCUUGAGUCCGGGAGAGGUGAGUGGAACUGCGAGUGUAGAGGUGAAAUUCGUAGAUAUUCGCAAGAACACCAGUGGCGAAGGCGGCUCACUGGCCCGGUACUGACGCUGAGGUGCGAAAGCGUGGGGAGCAAACAGG